AUCCAUCUAAAGAGUCCCAAAUAGGACGAAACGUGCGUCCUAGAU
rfam:Schistosoma rodhaini strain Burundi genome assembly, scaffold: SROB_scaffold0018002